CUGUGGUAUGUCCUGUCAGACUUUCACUUUUGUUUUGAGUGCAGCUGAGGCGCAGUUUGUUCCUCCGUGGUGAACUUGAGCUGAACCUACAAACCAGCGAAGAUGCUCUGCACAGAGGACACAGAGGAAGGAGUCCCUCCCGUUAAAACCUCUCAGUUGGAGGCUCAGAGACCAGACUCUGAUGGACCCAGCUGUGUGUCCAUGAAGAGUGACCGAUCUAAAGAUUUUUUUAUUGAGUUUAAAGAUGGACGACCUGCUGAUAGAAGAGUUCAGCUGAAUGGCUCGGAAUUCCAUGACAAGCCCGUCCAGCAGCAUCAAACACACCCGGACUCCAUCUUUAAUAUGCUGGAGAAGGACUUUUUCAACUUUGUGAGGAACGAGCUCAAGAGAGUGCACAGGGUUCUGACAUCAGAUUUCCCAGCAUCCUUAGAGAGUGAGGAAGAGGAGGAGGUGUUGGAUAGUGAGGAUGAAGGGCAGAGGAGGAGUAGAGAAGCAUUUCUGGAGAUCACUCUGCACCUUCUGAGGAGGAGGAGGCAGGAGGAUCUGGCUGACUGUCUGUGGAGCAAAACAGUCGUUCCAGAGUGCGGACACAAACUGAAGUCUGACCUGAAGGAGAAGUUCCAGUGUGUGUUUGAGGGGAUCGCGAAAGCAGGAAACCCUACCCUCCUAAACCAGAUCUACACAGAGCUCUACAUCACAGAGGGAGGGACUGGAGAGGUCAAUGAUGAACAUGAGGUCAGACAGAUUGAAGCAGCAUCCAGGACACCACACAGACCAGAGACCACCAUCAGACAAGAAGACAUCUUUAAAGGCUCACCUGGAAGAGAUCAACCAAUCAGAGCAGUGCUGACAAAGGGAGUGGCUGGCAUCGGGAAAACAGUCUUAACACAGAAGUUCACUCUGGACUGGGCUGAAGACAAAACCAACCAGGACAUCCAAUUCACAUUUCCCUUCACUUUCAGAGAGCUGAAUGUGCUGAGAGAGAGAAAGUUCAGCUUGGUGGAACUUGUUCAUCACUUCUUUACUCAGACCAGAGAAGCAGGACUCUGCAGGUUUGAAGAGUUCCAGGUUGUGUUCAUCUUUGACGGUCUGGAUGAGUGUCAACUUCCUCUGGACUUCCACAACAAUCCGAUCCUGACUGAUGUUACAGAGUCCACCUUAGUGGAUGUGCUGCUGACAAACCUCAUCAGGGGGAACCUGCUCCCCUCUGCUCGCCUCUGGAUCACCACAAGACCUGCAGCAGCCAAUCAGAUCCCUCCUGAGUGUGUUGACAUGGUGACAGAGGUCAGAGGGUUCACUGACCCUCUGAAGGAGGAGUACUUCAGGAAGAGGUUCAGAGACCAGGAGCAGGCCAGCAGAAUCAUCUCCCACCUCAAGACAUCCCGAAGCCUCCACAUCAUGUGCCACAUCCCGGUCUUCUGCUGGAUCACUGCUACAGUUCUGGAGGAUGUGCUGAAGACCAGAGAGGGAGGAGAGCUGCCCAGGACCCUGACUCAGAUGUACAUCUACUUCCUGGUGGUUCAGUCCAAACUGAAGAGCAUCAAGUACAAUAGAGGAGCUGAGACUGAUCCACUCUGGAGUCCAGAAAGUAGGAACAUGAUCCAGUCUCUGGGAAAACUGGCUUUUGAUCAGCUGCAGAAAGGAAACCUGAUCUUCUAUGAGUCCGACCUGACAGAGUGUGGCAUCAAGAUCAAGGAAGCCUCAGUGUACUCAGGAGUGUUCACACAGGUCUUCAGAGAGGAGGGGGGACUGUACCAGGACAAGGUGUUCUGCUUCAUCCACCUGAGUGUUCAGGAGUUUCUGGCUGCUCUUCAUGUCCAUUUGACCUUCACCAAGUCUGGACUCAACCUGAUGGAAGAAGAACAAAGAACAUCCUGGUGGACUUACUUAUUUGGCCAAAACAAAGAAACACGUUUCUACCAGAGUGCUGUGGACCAGGCCUUUAACAGUCCAAACGGACACCUGGACUUGUUCCUGCGCUUCCUCCUGGGUCUUUCACUGCAGACCAAUCAGACUCUCCUGAGAGGUCUGCUGACUCAGACAGGAAGUAGCUCACAGACCAAUCAGGAAACAGUCGAGUACAUCAAGAAGAGGACUGAGUCGACCCUCUCUGCAGAGAGAAGCAUCAACCUGUUCCACUGUCUGAAUGAACUGAAUGAUCGUUCUCUGGUGGAGGAGAUCCAACAGUCCCUGAGAUCAGGAUGUCUCUCCACAGAGAAACUGUCUCCUGCUCAGUGGUCAGCUCUGGUCUUCAUCUUACUGUCCUCAGAGAAAGACCUGGACGUGUUUGACCUGAAGGAAUACUCUGCUUCAGAGGAGGCUCUUCUGAGGCUGCUGCCAGUGAUCAAAGCCUCCAACAAAGCUCUGCUGAGUGGAUGUAACCUGUCAGAGAGAAGCUGUGAAGCUCUGUCCUCAGUCCUCAGCUCACAGUCAUCCAGUCUGAGAGAGCUGGACCUGAGUAACAACGAUCUGCAGGAUUCAGGAGUGAAUCUGCUCUCUGCUGGUCUGAAGAGUCCACACUGCAGACUGGAAACUCUCAGUCUCUCAGGUUGUCUGAUCACAGAGGAAGGCUGUGCUUCUCUGGCCUCAGCACUGAGCUCCUCCAGUCUGAGAGAGCUGGACCUGAGCUACAACCAUCCAGGAGAACGUGGAGAGAAGCUACUGUCUGACAGACAGAAGGAUGCACUCUGCAGACUGGAGACACUGAGCUUACAGACAUCACCCAGAGGAGUGGCAUGAGAGGACACUAAUGACCUUUAAGACUUGAAACAGACUCUAACCUGUUGUUCACGCUGAGUUGGAUCAUGGUGGAAGGAACAGACUGAAACCUGGUCUGAAGAAGUGGGCCUGUGAGCUGGAAGUGGACACAAACACAACAAGCAGAAAACUCAAACUGUCUGACAACAACAGGACGGUGACACACGUGAAGGAAGCUCAGUUGUAUUUCGAUCAUCCAGACAGAUUCGACUACUGGCCCCAGCUGCUGUGUCGGACUGGUCUGACCGGUCGCUGUUACUGGGAGGUCGAGUGGAGAGGAAGAGUUGUUGUAUCGACGAGUUGCAGAGGAAUCAGCAGGAGAGGAACCAGUGAAGACUGCGUGUUUGGAUGGAACAAUCAGUCCUGGAGUCUGAUCUGCUAUGAUGAAGGUUACUCUGUCCGUCACAAUACCAGAGAAACAGACGUCCCAGUCUCCUGGUCCUCUGCCUCUCACAGAGUCGCAGUGUAUGUGGACUGUCCUGCUGGCACUCUGUCCUUCUACAGAGUCGCCUCUGACUCACUGAUCCACCUCCACACCUUCAGCAACUCCUUCACUGAGCCUGUUUAUCCUGGUUUUGGGCCCUGGUUACCAGGUUCCUCAGUGUCUCUGUGAGAUCUGUAGGUCAGACAAACUGCUGACUGCAGCCAGAGGUUCAUUCAAAAGUCAGAGGACUUUGGUCUGAGGCUACGUCCACCAUAGACUGCAAAAAAAUAUGGACGUAGGAUCCGUGACGUCACCCAUGUGUUUCUGAAGAGCUGUUUUGAGACCAAUCGGCUGCGGCAGCCAUAUUGCUUCUGUCGAGCCAGUGUGACGUAAAGAGGCGGGCUUUGAGCCUCCUAGCCAACAGCUGCAGUGUUCCCACAGGCAGCUGUGCCUCUCAUUGGAAGACUAGUAAUCUCAAUAUCUUCUAAAUUACCGAAUUAGAAAAAAAUUCACCCCCCUCACAGUGAGAGGACAUCGAGAAAUUAGCUAUUCAGACUACACUCAUCUUUUGUACCAGGCUGUAAACAUGUUUAUUAAUGCUGUAAAGAUCGUCUUUUCCCCAUUCAUGUGUAUGUGACUUCCGGUACUUCCGGAGCCAGCCUCAAGCGGAUCCUCGAUGAACUGCAGCUUCUAACACUUCCGCAUUGGACUCAUAUUUUUAGACCGGAGGUUGCCGCUUGACGUCCACACGUAUACAGAAUAUUUGAAUAACACUCUCCCUUUAAAAAAACAUCCUGUCCACACCAGAGAGGUUUUUUAUAUUUCUCUGUCCACACAGCAGCCACCAGCAUUCUCUAAACUGUGUACGGAGAGUAUUAAAAACUAUGGAUCUAUUUAUUGGUCCUCACACUGUGGUGAAAUUAUGAUGAACAGCCAGGUUUCCUUCCUAACGUGCUAUUCAGUCCCUCCAGGAUUUUGCGGGAUUUUUGUGUUUGUUGCGGCCCAAAAAGCCUGAUUUUGCGACAGCUUUUUUUUUAAAUUGCAGUGAAAAUUGCAAAAUUUUUUGGCUUCUUUCCCCCAAUAAUAUCUCAGGGGCAAGUAAAUACGCUAAAUUACAGUUGUUUUUAGAAAACAUUCUUGAUGUGGCCGCUGUGACUGUAUUUUGAGUCUCUUGAUUCACAGAAAAAUGCCAUGAAAGGACUGUUUUGCACUGUUACGACAGUCCCUGAAUGCACCUCCCAGCGACAGAGGCACAGACAGUCAGUUCAAGGCACUCUGAAAUGCAUCUGCAUCUUUGAUGACUAUGAGUUGAUCAAAACGUACUAAAUGUGUGUGAUGUAUCACCAAACUGGAAUAAAUCAAGCUGUAGAUGAGGAGCUUUUUACGGUAAUAGCGGCAACAACGUCAAACCUCAAAUAUUAAACGGACGUCCCCCGGUUGUGUCUUUGUCACUAACACACACCAGAGGUGUCACCAAUGACGUACAGGGGCUGAGGUUAAGGUAAUUGGUAAAAUUUGCUGGAAAGUUGCAGUUACAGUCUUUCACCAUUUGACAAUCUUUCCUCGUUUACAGUCUUUCACCGUUUGACAGUCUUUAACCGUUUGACAGUCUUUUACUGUUUGACAGUCUUUCACAGUUUGACAGUCUUUUACUGUUUUACAGUCUUUUACUGUUUUACAGUCUUUCACAGUUUUACAGUCUUUUACCGUUCUGAGGGUUUACAUAGCAGAGUUUUUACAUUUAGUUCUGACUAACAUAGAGAUAACAUGAAACUAAAAUCAAUAUUGAUGAUUGAUUGAUGGAUACAACAAUCUGUUUUAACUAACUCAUCCGUUAAGGCUAAAUAACGCCAUACUACUUGAUUCAUAAGCUUGAACAGAGGUUUGCAUGGUUUCUGUGUUGCACAUUUUGCCUCUGGAUUCUCACUGCCACCUAACCUGUGUAAUCUCCACUUGUAGUGUUUACAUUGAGCCGUGAGCUUGUUUCAAUAAAAGACUGAAUGACUUUGA